AAGAAAAAUAAUUUUGAAAUAUUUGAAGAAAACUGAGAUCAUGAAAAACACAAACUAUACAAUAAAAAUAAAACUAUAAAAACUAAUCAAACUAAGAAAGUACACUAAGAGAUAAAAAAAGAAAUAUAGAAAAAAGAAGACAACAAAAACCUAGAAAAGUAAUUUAAAUAACAUAUUAGAAUUAUUAAAAUAAAUUAUUCAAACGGUACAAGAGUAUUAUUAAACUAAAAAUCACAAUUGAUAUGAAAAGAAAAACAUGAAGUAUUGCAUUAAUUUGUCAAACUAAUAAAAUAAAAUAAAUAAUUUUAUGUCUAAACCUUAUCAUUUUAAGAAAUUUGAUACACCUUUAUUUUUUCCAACUUUCUUUAACCAUUUACACUUGUUAUGACCUCUGUAUGUCUUGGUCAAAUGUUAUUUAAAACAUUGGACAUAUGUCUAAUUAUCAAGAAUUGUGAUAGAAAACUGACAAAAACUAACAAAAAGACAUUGCACUAAAGACAAAUAAGAUAUAAUCAAUGAAAGUCUUUAUAUUAAACAAGUUUGGUUGUCAUUAAUAUAUAAUAAAAUACCAACAUUAAUUAAUCAAGAACAACUCAAUAAUUAAUUGGAUAAUUCCAAUAUUUUUUUUACAAUAUUUUAACAUCAUUUAUGUGUAAUUAUGUGAUUAAUCCAUAGUGGUGUUUAUAAUUAUUAUUAUUAUUGAUUAUGGAGUAAUUUUGGAUCAAUCAGAAAAUGACAUAAUGUUAAAAUAUUGUUAAAAAAAUAUUAUCAAAGUAUCAUUUUCCUAAUUUAAAUUAGACAAAACUCGAAGUAUAAAAUAUGCAAAAUUGCUCAUUUUUACAUUACAUAUUUUGAUUUCUUAUGAAAUCAUAUCGUUAACAUUGCUUUUGUGGACAAUUUGAGUUACUUUUUUAUUUGGAAAAUUGGUUGAGCAUUGUUCUUAAUUAGAUUUUGUGAUUCAGAUUUGUGCAUGAUGAAGACACAAGCAAGCGAACCGGUUAUUCCAUCUCAAAGUGAUAAUGAUAAAGGGUACCCACUACACCAACCACCACACCAACCACAACCACCACACCAUUCCCCACCCCACCAAGCACCACCACCACACCACCACCACCAUCGACACCACCCACGUCACUCGCCACCACCACACCAAGCACCACCACCACACAUAGCACAACCACAAUUCCGUCGAGCACCAGAUUUUGUUAUCCCUCCAAGCAUUUGAUUCUUUUAACGUCCAUAUUUUUUAUAAUUUGUAGUCAAUUCAUUGUUCUUUCUAUUAUUUGUCAUCUAAAAUUAUACUACUUAGAAUAAAAAUCUUNUGAUGAACAUAUUUUGCAAUUUUCACUUAGAAUAAAAAUCUUAAGAUGAACAUAUUUUGAAAUUUUCAUAUCUCCAAGCAUUUGAUUCUUUUAACGUCCAUAUUUUUUAUAAUUUGUAGUCAAUUCAUUGUUCUUUCUAUUAUUUGUCAUCUAAAAUUAUACUACUUCGAAUAAAAAUCUUGUGAUGAACAUAUUUUGCAAUUUUCACUUAGAAUAAAAAUCUUAAGAUGAACAUAUUUUGCAAUUAUCAUAUAAAACGUUGUUCUGAUACCAUAUAACGUGGCAUCCUAAUUACAUUGUUUUAUAUUUAAUAAAUUGUUAAUUUUUUUUCAAUUAUAGUAAAAAGUUUUGUAGUACCAAUUCAAUGGUUCAACUUAUAAAUUAUAUAUUUUCUAAAAUAAAGUAUAACAUUUUAAUUACUCAAAAAAAAUAUUUUACAGUGUUAUUAUUUAUUUAUUUAUUAUCAAUUCCUAGUCAUAAUUAAAUAUUAGUACUUAUUUGUUUGCAUUUAUACAAAUGAAACAUGAUUUUUUUAGUAGGAUUAAAACUUUAUUAUUAUAUUUUCACAGGAUUAAAACUUAUUUUUUUGCAUUUAGUAAUUAAAAUUAUGUUAAGUUUAUUUGAGGUUUCAACUGCAUUUUACAAUUAAGAUUGAAGAAAAAAUCUACACAAACAACUCAAGCGUUUUCAUGAAAUAGGUUCGAAAUGUCAAAUAAACUUGACCAAAUUUGGUUAAAAUGACUAAAUCCACAAAUUUCUAAAGUAGAGAAACUAAAUUGGGUCAAAGUUUCGAAAAUGGACUAAUUCCAAUUUUUAGUGAAAAUUAAGAGACCAAAAACAUAUUUAACCCUUAUUUUAAUAAUUAUUUAUAAACUGAUUGAGUGUGGGUAUUCUACUAUCNCUAUCCAUAGAUAUUCGAUACUCGUAAAAAUAAAUUAAAAAUUUUAUUUAUAUUUUAUUAAGUUAUAUAUAAUUAAAAUUAAAAAAAAUAAUUUAUUAAGUUAAAUUUAAUUAAAAUUAAAUUUUAAUUUAUAUUUAAUUCAAUUUAUAUUUUAUANUAACAAAUAAGAAUAAAUUAGAUUCAUCACCCUCAUACUAAUAUAUUAUUUCAUUUUUUCCCAAUUUAUUUUUCUCACUAAUCUCAAAUUAAUGUAAACUACAAUAGACCUAUUAUUAAUCAUUUUCUUUUAAUGAAUAUUAAUUGCUCACACUUCAUAAUUAAUUAACAAAAGUACAAAGCAUUAAAAUUUCAUUGAAUGCCUAAGUUAAUACAUUUAUUCUCUAAAAAGAGAUAUUGAUGGUUUUUUGUCUUUUACUUGAAAUUGCUUUCACCAUUUGAGUAUAUAUAGGUUAAUAGUUGUGGUUAAAUAACAUCUUCAGUGAACAACAUGGGUUUUUCAAACUGUUCUCUUGUCAAUAUGGCGUUCUUAUUAGCUCUUUUCAUCAUGACUUCAGGUUAAUGAUGUUCAAUUCACUCUCUUUUUAGUUUCUCAAUUCAAAUGACCAAUUUUCUUUUACAUUACAUAUUUUGAUUUCUUAUGAAAUCAUAUCGUUGACAUUGCUUUUGUGGACAAUUUGAAUUACUUUUUUAUUUGGAAAAUUGGUUGAGCAUUGUUCUUAAUUAGAUUUUGUGAUUCAGAUUUGUGCAUGAUGAAGACACAAGCAAGGGAACCCAUUAUUCCAUCUCAAAGUGAUAAUGAUAAAGGGUACUCACUACAUCAACCACCACACCAACCACAACCACCACACCAUUCCCCACCCCACCAAGUCCCACCACCACACCACCACCACCAUCGACACCACCCACGUCAUUCGCCACCACCACACCAAGCACCACCACCACACAUAGCACAACCACAAUUCCGUCGAGCACCACCUCCACCUUUCUGAGUCAUCUUUUUCUUCGGAUGCAAUUUGUCAUCUUCUUACUCUUAUGUAUUCUUAGUUCUUAAUAAAGUAUGAUUAUUUUGUUUCAUGUCUCAUUAUGUUCCUAUAUUAUAUCACAUCUUCGGAGACAAAUUGGUUACAAAACUAAAAUAAAGGAAAAAAAUUGGUUAGUUUUUAAAAAAAUCCUCACUUAAAGUGUGUAAUUAAUUGAUCUCAAUUUAUAUAUAUUAAUUAUAGAAAAGAAAAAUAAUUUUGAAAUAUUUGGAAAAAACUGAGAUGAUGAAAAACACAAACUAUACAAGAAAAAUAAACUAUAAAAACUAAUCAAACUAAGAAAGUACACUAAGAGAUAAAAAAAUAAAGAUAGAAAAAAGAAGACAACAAAAACCUAGAAAAGUAAUUUAAAUAACAUAUUAGAAUUAUUAAAAUAAAUUAUUCAAACGGUACAAGAGUAUUAUUAAACUAAAAAUCACAAUUGAUAUGAAAAGAAAAACAUGAAGUAUUGCACUAAUUUGUCA
rnacentral:lncRNA from 1 species